UUCAUUUCAGACCGCAGAGCUUAUUAAUAUUCAGUAAUAUGUCUAGGCUUGAACAGAUAAAAAUAGCCAAGCCUUUCAUUUAGAAACAGACUUCUCUAAGCACAAGCUUAUUUUCUCUAUCGCUGCAAGUAUAACUGCCUGUCUCUGCAGAUAGAUCAUCCGUCUCCUUCCAGUGACCAGCAUGUGAAAUGAUGGUCACUGUCACUUAUUUUGUUUCAUGAAAGGCUGCCUGUUAGCACAUUUGUCUGUUUCUCUUUCAACCAUACUUGAACCUGCACCCCCCCCCCAAAAUAUUAAAAUACGUUAAAUAUCUGUUAAAUAUCCCUUCUAUCUGUUAAGGGGAAGAUUAUCCUUCAGUAAGAGGUGAUCCUUGGUCACCCCCAAUGUUAGCAUUAUCUGCACAUUAUAGAGCUGUGCUGUUUAAUACAGCAGCUGCUAGUCAUGUGAAGAUUUUACAUUUAAAUUUAUUAAAAUAAAAUAAUUCAGUUUCUCAGUUGCACCAGCCACAUUUCAAGGGCUUAGUAGUUGCAUGUGGCUAGUGAUUACUCCACUGGGCGGCACAGAGUAUUUCAAUUUUUUCAGAAAGUUCUAUUAGACAGCACUGCUAUAGAAGCUCAACUGAGUAAAUAUAUCUGUUGACUAAAGAAAAAAAAAUCAAGCUUUUAGAGAAUUAAAGUUAAUUUUAUUCAGAAGUCUUACUGAGGACUAUAGACUACCGUCUAUAGCCCCAGGGCAGUUCUGUCAGACUGUUUCAGCACAAUAUUUUAGCCUACAGCUUAUGUACAUGUGGUAGGGGUUCUGUACUUGUGAAAUCACAUAAAACUUGCUCUGAAGUUAUAUUAAAGCAGAAUCACCUCGAAGUUUGGGUGUAAAAAGACAUCUGGUUGUAGAUUACAGAAGCAUAAUCACUAACUCUGUCAGACAUUAUCUUAUGUCCAGGAAAAGGCAAGGAUGAGGGUCAUUUAUCUUUUACGAAAUGUAGUGACUCAGGCAAAAGACGUGAGGUGGGAGGGAGGUGUGUGCUCUCCGUGUUUUGUCUUCAAAACAUCUUUCAAAAGAGCUGCAUAUCAUCAUAGAGUCAGAGGCUCUGUGAAAUUAUAAUAGCAAAUGGAAAUGGGCAAACAUGGCUUCUUUGCUACUUUGUCUCAUAUAGUAUAUAGAAAGCCAUUUCAAAUUCCAAGUUGACUAUGACUAUUAUUUUUAUGACAGUUCAUGAUUUUUAACUAACUAUAAGUUUUGUGGGGGGUUUUUUGUCAAAUAGUUCAUGUUUUUAGUUUCUUUUUUCUUUUUUUGAGACAGAGUCUUAUUCUGUCACCCCUGCUGAUGUGCAGUGGCGCUGCCUCAGCUCACUGCAACUUCUGCCUCCCAGGUUCAAGCGAUUCUCGUGCCUCAGUCUCCCAAGUAGCUGGGACUACAGGCGCCCGCCACCACGCCUGGCUAAUUUUUGUAUUUUUAGUAGAGACGGGGUAUUACUAUGUUGGCCACGCUGGUCUCAACUCCUGACCUCAAGUGAUCCACCCACCUCAGCCUCCCAAAGUGCUGGGAUUACAGGCAUAAGCCUUGGUGCCCGGCCUCAUGUCUUUCAAUCUGAAAAAAAAAAAAACCCAAAAAAACAAAAAACAAAAAAAAGCCUCUUGGAUGCACCACUAGAGAGUAAUAAUCCAAAAAUCAGGCAGUCCUUGGUCUAGUUCAUAUGUCACCACCACCAGCUGUAUGUCUCCCUUAACCUCUGAGUGUAGAUUCUUUCCUAUAAAAUGGAGACAGUGAUGUUGCCUGCCCUGCUGUUUCAUCAUCAAUAAGCAGGGAUUGUGUCUUAUGUCUUAUUUAUCUUUGUAACCAUGAAGCUUAAAACAGUGAGUGGUACACAGCUGGUGCUCAAUAAAUGUUAAUUAAGCUAAACAAUGAAAUAAUUUACAUGGCUCCCCUUCAUUCCAUCAACGUGUUCUUUGAUAUAUAACUAGGUCGAGGGACUUUAUCUGCUAAAAUUUGAGGGAAGGUGCUGAUGGCAACAUAAAACUUAGGCAGAAGAAAACAUGUCUAAAAAGGAUGUUUAGAAAGUUUUAAGGAAAUUACAACAAAGAUCUAGUAAAUUCUUGAAAGCUUUCUGAGUCAGAGUGAUGCGAUUUAACUGUUACCCUUGGUUGCACCUGGCUUCAAAGCAAGAGUGACUGGGCCUAGUUGUAUACAGGUUAUAGUUAUAUGAGAGAUUAAAAACAGAGCGUGUAAAUUAGUUUCUUAGGACCAUUUAAAUGAUAAAGCAUCUUUUUCUCUUUUACCUUCUGUUCCCCACAAGCCUCACUACCUCCAAGUCUAUAUGAUAGCCAUAGUUUUGAGAGGGUUUAGAGAGAACACAAUAACUUCUUGCCCAGUAGAUACCAGCAUUUUUUCACAGGUAUUAUGUAUAGGAAGCCACAGUUUUAAAAUGAACACUCACAAGGCAAAGCAUUGGAGACCACUGACCAAUAGGCAUGUUUAAAAGUCAGAUUUUUUCAAGCAGCUUCUAAAUUACCAGGGAAACAAGCCAACCAGCCAGAUGUGUGUGCAGUAGAAUUCCAGCUGAGAGAAGCACAGAAGUCAGGCUGUACUGGCAGUUUGGAGGAAGGGUUGGGUUACUCUGGGAAGACAUUCUGGAAAGAAGGACCAAAUGUUCAAAACAGAUUAGCACCCUGACAGAUUGGGAACGGGUUGAAGGAUCUUUUGGGCCAAAAGACUAUGAGGUUUACAUUGUUCUUUGCUUUUCUUUGUAAAGUCAGAGCCCAGAUGUGCUGAGCUCCAGGGGUGAGCUGACCAAGCACAUUGCCAGGUCUCAACUCUCUAUUUACUUCACAAUGAGAUGAAAGUCAGCUCUCUGCAGCUCCUUAGCACAGAAGAGCUUGGUUCAGUGUUUUGCCAUUCAUUAUAUGCCACCUUUGCUUAGGUGGUUUCACAUACAUUCGUCUUCAUUAGGUGAUGCUUUGUGGGCCUACACUCAUUUGCAUGUUUUACAAGACUUCUAUCAUGUCAUUGAAGUGGUAAAAUGGCCCUGGCUGUCUCUUUUCCAAUCUGGCUUCUAUAUCUUAUCAUCUUCUUUAUUUAAUGAAAUGGGAGUGAUGUACAGAUGAGGAGGUCUGGGGAGGUAUUCAUUUUUCUGUCUGGUAUUACUUUUAUCUGUUAUUGAUCAUAUUCUCAAAAUACACUUUAAGGAUGGUGGAAAAUAUACUCUCCAAAUGUUGAUUUGAUGCAGACCUAAUUCUGCAAAUUCAAUAAAUAACAAAUUAAUAUUCCAAAUGCUUUUCCUGACACUUUUGUUUUUUUAGGAUAGUGAUUCCAGAUCUGAGUUCCUUUAGGAUGUCAGAAGCUCUUUUGCAGACAUCAGGCAGCAUUUCAAGUCUUCUCAUUUCUAUGCUAAAACAUUAUUAUGUCCUUUGGCUCCUUAGGAUGCAUGGGAGUCUGGAUCCUUUUGGCCUAAUGCUGGUCAUGGUCAUAUAAGUGAUUGGUCAGUCUCAAAUCUUGGGCAUUGUCCCAUCCUCUCAUCCACCCUUUUCCAAAACACACACAAACACAGCUCAUCCUGGGAGACUGUGUGGUCCAGGGAAAGAAUACUGGACAGACAGGGAGUACAGAGGCCUGGGUUCUAGUUGCCAGCAACUAGCAUAGGCAAUUCUCUCCACCCCUCUGUUUUCUUCAACUGCAAAGUGAUAAAGCUGGAACAGGUCAUCGAUAAGGCUCUGCCAGCUAUUACAUGGCUUAAAUCCAUGAAGCCUGGAGAAUACUAAGGCAAAAACAAUAGGGAGGGCAGAACUCAUAAAAAGACUGCAUCUUCUCAUUGCAAAUGUAAGAAAAUUUGAAGCAGCAGACUUAGACUUCUCAGUUGGUACUUUUCAUCUGGUUCAGAAAGAAAUCAGAAAGUAAAAGAUAUAAGAAACACUUGCUUAAAACUGCUUCUUUUAAUGUAUUUCUUUUUUUAAAAAAUUGCCCUAAGUGUUUCUCCAGAAAUAAGAGAUUUUUUUCUUUCCCACAUCUCUGAUUCCAGGAAGUUUCUAAGUUCUCUGUGUUGCAGAACAUUUGGUAAAGUAUUUGACUUAUUGUAUGGGAUGAUGACUAUGAGAGAGCUAUUUUUGGAUACUUUUAUCUGAAAAUCUUUAUGCACUUUUUUUUUUUUUUUUUUUUUUGGAGAAGGAGUCUUGCUGUGUCGCCCAGGCUGGAGUGCAGUGGCACAAUCUCAGCUCACUGCAGGCUUCGCCUCCUGGGUUCACGCCAUUCUCCUGCCUCAGCCUCCCAAGUAGCUGGGAUUACAGGCACCCACUACCAUGCCUGGCUAAUUUUUUUGUAUUUUUAGUAGAGAUGAGGUUUCACCGUGUUAGCCAGGAUGGUCUCCAUCUCCUGACCUUGUGAUCUGCCCACCUUGGCCUCCCAAAGUGCUGGGAUUACAGGUGUGAGCCACCGUGCCCGGCCUAUGCACUCUUAAAUACAGUUUUUAAAUGUGUGUGUGCAUCCAUGUCUUAGAAUUCAUAGUGUAUAUCAAGAGGAAAAUGGAUUAAUUUCUCAAAAAAGUAAAAUUUCAUAAAUAUGUCUACUGUGCAAAUUAGCAGCAUAUUCCUUAGUGUCUUCCCUAAGUUUCCUCACUGAGUUUCUGUGUCAUAUUGCUUCUCCUCCUGGUGUACUCUUUUCCCACUCCUUUGCCCCAACCACAUACACACUAGGUUUUAGAGCAGCAGCUUCUAGCCCAUUUUCACAGUCUCUGGUCCUGGCAGAACACCUGUUGAAUCUUUGGUCUUUAUAUCACAACCUUUCGUUCAUUCAUCUAAUCCAAAGAAUAUUUUAUAUGCCAGACAUUUUGCUAGAUAGCGAAGAUGUGUCAUAAAUAAAAGAGAAGAGCCCUGUUCAACCUCUCCACCCAAUUGUGGGAGAAAUUGACAUUAAAUAAAUAAUAGCUGAUUAUUUUGUUAAAAUUAUAAUAGUGUUACAUAGGAGAAGUCACUGUGUCUCAGGAGUGUAGAACGGGGAAACUAAUUAGUCAGUGAUUGUGUGAGAGGAGUGUUAGGGAAGACCCCUCAGAGGAAAUGAUAUUUUCUUAGACUUUAAAAGAGGAUGAAGAGUUGUCUAGUUGAAGAUAAAGUGGGGUGAUGCCUAAUAUAUUGCUCAAUAAAUAUUUUUUUAAUGGAUUUGUAAACAAAACUUCCAGAAAGAAUUAUGGGUAUUGAUUAUAUGCUAAUCAUAGUAGUCAGCAUGUAUAAGAAGGUAAAAACUACAUAUAUUUUAGGACCAGGCAGCUCUUAUUCAUUCUGGCAGUGACAUGGAAGUGAGAAAGGCCAGCUGACCUAAAGAGAUCAAACUUUUGACCUUGCCCUCUUUAAUCCAGGACCCUAAACCACUGUGGUAACUAGACAAUUGUGAUAUAUGAAUACUUUGAAAACCUUAAAAAUGAAGAACAUUGAGUCUUUCAUGAAAAUACUCCUGAUCACAGUGUUUGCAUUACAAACUGAAAUCCAGUGGAAUAAACCCUGGUGGGCCUAUGUGGUAAAACUAUCAUAUUUUUCCUAAUGACUGUGCAAACUCAUUAUAAAAUCAUAAUUUUGAGGUUUCAUACCCAUCAUGAGUCAAGAUAGGUUAGUUUUGGCAAAAUACAUCUUCUUGGCUUUAGAGACUGUGAUCCAUCUUUGUGGCAUCAAAGAAGGGCAGCAUAAGUGUUGACUGGAAUCCCAAACUUUUCACCUCCCUUUGAUGCCAAGCCAAGCCUAAGCUUUCAUCAAAAGUACAUAAAUUCUUUUAUAUGGUGUAAUUAGGAGUUUGUAGCAUAAUUUGCAACAGAGGUUGCUUUACUUGCAUGCUUUUUCCCUUCCUGGAUCUUUUUCCCUGACCUGAGAGAAUGAAAAUAAAUCUCACAUCAUCUUCACCAAUUUUCUCUUCAUCCCACCUGGAUGUGCUUCCUCUUAGGUUACCAACUGCCCAACAGAUACGUCAACUGCAAGAUGUUCUAUCAAGCAAUUCACUACUUCCUCCCUUCUCAAUCUUCAGGCUCUGCAUAUGGAAAUGAACAUUUCAUUAUGACCCUAUGACCUACAAAGCUCCCUCUCUGUCACUCCUUAUCAUCUUUCCUAGGGAGGCAAUCAAAAUGAAAUGAUUUUAAGAUUCUAGCACUCCCAACUCUAAGAUGAAAAUGAUGCAGCAAUCAUGAACUCCUGUGUUAUCUGUCACUAUCUCAUAAGUCACAUGAUUUGAAGAGAAGAUCAUUCGGAGCAGUGGAAAAAUGAAAUCAAACAUAGCUGCUACCUCAGAUUGAAGAGAUGUCCUCUCCGAUUCUUUAAAGUAUUUCCUAUUCUCCUACCCACCUCCUCUGUUGUUUGCAAGACUCAAAAAGAUAAAUUUAUAGUGAAAUAAGAAUCCUCCAACUUACAUAUUAGAGCUUCUGCAAUUAAAGAAAAACAGAAAUCAGGCUGGGCGCAGUGGCUCACGCCUGUAAUCCCAGCACUCUGGGAGGCCAAGGUGGGUGGAUCACCUGAGGUCAGGAGCUUGAGACCAGCCUGGCCAACAUGGCAAAACCCCAUCUUUACUAAAAAUACAAAAAUCAGCUGGGUGUGGUGGUGGGUGGCUGUAAUCCCAGCUAUUCAGGAGGCUGAGUCAGGAGAAUCCCUUGAACCCAGGAGGCAGAUGUUGCAGUGAGCCGAGAUGGCACCACUGCACUCCAGCCUGAGUGACAGAGUGAUACUCUGUCUCAAAAAGAAAAAAAGAAAAAGAGAAAUCUAUGGGUGAAGACAAAUGGAAUGGCAAUACCUUGGAGUAGCAUUUACUAAUUCAAGCCAUAUAAACCAUACUAAGGUUGUCAGCCCAGAGGGGAGUCCAUCUGCUAUGUAGAUGAGAGAAUGCGACCAGGAAAGUCAGGACACAAAGCCAUGAUUCUUUCAACUUUUUGGCACUUUAAUAAGUGAAUUGCAUGUCCUGUCUUCUCCAUGAACUCAGCAAAGCUACAACUAAGCUCCUCAUCUUGAGAGUUCACCAUGUGCCCACUUUGACCUAUGGAUGGGCCCCUUGGCACUCUACCUUUUCAGUGUCCUCAACUGCACAAACUUCCUGGGCUGCACUGACUGCUGUACCCAGGCAAUUUUUUGGGAGCUCCAAUGUCUUGUCUAGCACAUGACAUGAGGCUGUAGCAUGUUCUUUCAAGUAUUAGUGCUAAAGAGGUCCCAUUCUACUUUCUCUGACUGAUCAGGUCACUGUUUUCAGCUACCUGGCCCUUCUAAGUCAGGGUCACUAGAGUAUUGGGAGGUUUGUAACUUCUUCAUUGGUGUCUUGUGUUUUCCUGUCUUUGAACUUGAGGAAAGCUGGCCCUGGAUGUUCACAACAUCAACCAAGCAAUGAAAACCACAGCACCCUACAGGAAAUUCUGCAUUUCUCUCAAAACAUGCAAAACACAAAAUUGGGUGGAACCACAGAAGGUUAUGGAUAACUCACUACAGUUUGGACUUUCAAAGGCCCUGGGAAAACUAUCCUACUUUUGUGAGAUACUAUUGUUCUACCUGUAAUGCAAGUGAACAGAUCUUAAUAAGGACAAAUAACAAUUUUUUAAAUGUUUACCAUAUUUUCUCAUUUGUUCCUUUCAUCAAGCAUCCAACCUGCCAGACCCUGCACUUGAUGGAUCAGCUGGCACCACCCAAAUCAAUAAACCGGCUCAUCUGAUCUUGUGGCACCCACCCAAGAACUGACUCAGCACAAGGAGACAGCUUCGACUCCCUGUGAUUUCAUCCCUGUCAACCAGCACUCCUGGCUCACUGGCUUCCCCCCACCCAACCAAGUUAUCCUUAAAAACUCUGCUCCCUGAAUGCUCAGGGAGUUUGAUUUGAAUAAUAAUAAAACUCCAGUCUCCUGCACAGCCGGCUCUAUAAAUUACUCUUUCUCUAUUGCAAUUCCCCUGUCUUGAUGAAUCGGCUCUGUCUAGGCACCGGGCAAGGUGAACCCCUUGGGUGGUUACACUAGCAUUGGUUUUUGUUUGCCACUGCAGCAUUAAUUAUGUGUUUUUUAUGGCAAUAGAAAUUUUUUUUUACUGCCUUUCCUCAAUGUUACAUGAAGACAUAUUUCACAAGUAGGCCAAGUACAAAGUAGGAAUAGAAGCUAGAAUGGAAUCAUAGACCAGAUUCUUACAUAGAUCACAUCAGCCAGGCUGAGGCUCCAUCUGUGUGCAUGGCACGGCACAGCUGCGUUGGUUGCUUAUAGCUAGCAUCUGUUCUGAUUGGUUGGUGCCUGUGGCUUUUCAGUUGCUCAGAGUUUUGAAUACCAACCCUGGGUACACAGUUAUCUCUGAAAGCUAAAAUGGUGAAAUAUAACACAUAAUGAAUGCAAUGAGCCAGCUCUAGACACAACCAAGAGAAUUCCCGUAACUGGGAACCUGAGAAAGUAUAAAAGCACUUAAUUGAAGGUGUAAAUGAGAGAAAGCAGGUUUGAAAUGCAACCAAAACAAAGCCCACACAUAGACAACUGUAUUUAUAAGUUGUUUCUAAAUGGGAAUGGAACGGUGUUUUUCCGGGAAUCUAGGGAACAGUCUCUCUACGGCGACUUUUCUCAUGUGAGAAAACAGACAUUUAGCAGAAAACCAGAAAAUGUUCAUUGGCUUCGGUGAACUUUUAUUCCAAGUUUCAAUGAGGGACCCUGUGCAGAGGCUUGGGACACGGAGACCUCCCUCUGCUGCCUUUAAGGAAGGUCAUUAAAAAAAAAAAAAUUCCGUUUUUUUUUUUUUUUUAAAGACGGAGUCUCGUUCUGUCGCCAGGCUGGAGUGCAGUGGCCUGAUCUCGGCUCACUGCAACCUACGCCUCCCAGGUUCAAGAGACUCUCCUGCCCCAGCCUCCUGAGUACCUGGGACCACAGGCGCCCGCCACCACGCACAGCUAAUUUUUGUAUUUUUAGUAGAGAUGGGGUUUGAGCAUGCUGGCCAGGAUGGCCCCGAUCUCUUGACCUCGUGAUCCGCCCGCCCCAGCCUCCCAAAGUGCUGGGAUUAUAGGCGUGAGCCACCGCCCUUCUAACUUUUCUAUUGUACCACACUGAUGGCAAGGAAGGGCGGUAGGAAAGCCUGCCAAGGAAAGGGAGGACCGGCCUGCAUAUUCUUAAGCGCUGUGGGACACUGUUCUGUAGACGUUGCCCAUCCCAUUGCUCUCUCAGGGAGGGAUGAGCCACGGCCAGGAGCAGCUCCUGGUCAUCUACUGUACCACGUGUGCAGAGGGAAGACACACUCCCAGAGAAGAAAAUGCUGGGAAAAAGAGACCACAGCCUUUGUAUGGUGGCUCAAUGUAAGUACUUCUUGACAUGUCCAGUUGUACAGCUCCUCUUUGGGGUUGGAGCGCUUUGCUUUCCAGGGUGUAGAUUGGGGUCUGGGGAAGUGGUGAAGUGGAGUGAAACUGGAGGCCUGGAGCUCCCCCUAGAGGCCAAAUGUAUUUUACCCUGACUCAAGAAAACCUGGAGCUGGAAGCUUGGCUCAUCAAACCUAAAGUAAGAGUAAGAAUCAGCAGUAUUGUCGGCACUACCCCGGGAAGGGAGAGAUACUAAACCUAGUGAACAGUGCAGGUCCGGAAUCCUUUAUGUGAAGUUCUAAAACUCAAAAAACUUUGAAAAUGGAAACUCUUUUGAGACCUAUUUGGCAACAACGUUUACCUGCAAUAUGAGGACAUAGUCUUUAUUAUCUUAAUGUGAGUAUUUUUAUCUUUUAUGACAGAUAUAUUAAUUAAUGUGUUUAAUCAUGAGAGGCUGCCCAUAUUCCUAGUAGGAACGUUAAAAGGUAGAGUACCCACUAGGGGUGUUUUAAUGUACAGUAUAUGAACUGUUUACUUCUCUCAAAUCUUAAAAAUUCAGAAAUCUGAACUACAUCUGGCCCCAAUCAGCCAAAGGACUAUAGGCCUGGGUAUUAUAAUGCUCACUACUGUGUGGGCCUCAAUCACAGCUCAACCUGUGCCAUGUGACUUUCAACAAGUGACUCACUGGCUAGAAGGCUCAGCUUCUUCUUUAGUAAGAUGGAAAUAUCACUAGUUUAGAUAUUAAAUGAGUUUAUGCACCGUGUUCAGCCCAGGACCUGGCAAAUAGUAAACAUCUAAGAGUGUUAGUGAUUAUUAUCAUACUUUGUUAUUAUUACUUGAUCUGAGAGAGUGCAUACCUCACUUUACUCUGAUUCACAGUCACCAAAGAGUCAUUUGACUACCAGCCACCAGGCCCACUAUUACCAGGAAGGUGGAAUCUUGAAAGACGAACAUGAGCUUUUGGGCCACUGAUGAUCCAUUAUAAAUCAAUAAUUUGAUAUUCUAGAUCCUAUCUCAAUCUCUUGAAUAUCUAGAAAAAUCAAAUCAAACAAAAAUCAGAGAUACUCUUGGUUCUGAGACACACCUAUACACCUAAAACCUUACUGGUUGCAAGCAGGCUUAAGUUACAGACAGCCAGACAGCCAAGAGCAUUUUGAAGGUGGGAAAACUAAGGCAAAGAAAUAGAAUGAUUUUUUUUGACAUGAGCACAAUAAUUGUAUGUGGGUCUUGGCUAAUGGUUUGUGAUUAGUUUACAAUGAUCCAAGAAUCUAGAAUAAGAUUUUCUUUUCUUUUCUUGUCUUGUCUUGUCUUUUCUUGACAUGCAGCCUCACUCUGUUCCCCAGGCUGGAAUGCAUUGGCACUAUCUCGGCUCACUGCAACCUCUGCCUCUUGGGUUCAAGUGAUGCUCCUGCUUCAGCAUCCCUGAGUAGCUGGGACUACAGGCAUGUGCCACCACUCCCAGCUAAAUUUUGUAUUUUUAGUAGAGACAGGGUUUUGCCGUGUUGGCCAGGCUGGUCUCAAACUCCUGACCUCAGGUGAUCUGCCUGCCUUGGCCUCCCAGAGUGCUGGGAUUACAGGUGUGAGCCACUGCACUUGGCCUAGAAUAAAAUUUUCUAAAAUGUUGUACAUAAAAUACUAGUGCUGCAAGAGGUUCUUUGAAUAAAAAAUUUCCCCAAAUUAUUUAAAAAUGAAACCCUUCUUUCAGGGAAUAUUUAUUAACACCCACAGAAUUUGGGUUAGAUAGAGUGUACCUGGGGAAAUACUGUUUUAGAGAGUAUCAACUUCUGUAUAUAAUUCAGGUAGAUAAUUCUUGGCUAUUGGGUAAUUUCAAG
rnacentral:lncRNA from 1 species